rnacentral:rRNA from 1 species
UACGAAGGGUGCAAGCGUUAAUCGGAAUUACUGGGCGUAAAGCGUGCGCAGGCGGUUUUGUAAGUCAGAUGUGAAAUCCCCGGGCUUAACCUGGGAACUGCGUUUGAAACUACAAGGCUAGAGUGUAGCAGAGGGGGGUGGAAUUCCACGUGUAGCAGUGAAAUGCGUAGAGAUGUGGAGGAAUACCGAUGGCGAAGGCAGCCCCCUGGGAUGAUACUGACGCUCAUGCACGAAAGCGUGGGGAGCAAACAGG